rnacentral:ncRNA from 1 species
CAGAUAGAGGUGCGGUAAAGAUCAGUAGCACCGUCCGACUCACUCAAGGGUCAAGGCUUCCACAGCUGAUGGGCGAUGCGAAAGGCGAUACUGCCGAAGCUCUGGACGUGGGAUGUCCUCUGCUGACUGAUGGUUCAACAGAUCAUCGGUUGUCAUCAUGCUUUAUGAUGGAGUGCUAUCGG